UCUUUCUCAGGGUCGCAACUGGAGAGUUUCCAGUACUCUACCAGUCUCUACUAUGGGAGGGAGACUCAAGCAGAGUGCUUCAUGCCCAUUCCAUUCCUAGCUUGAGUAGUGGCUAGUGAGUGGAAGGCAUUCUGCUACAAGU